ACAAACUUGGUCAUUUAGAGGAAGUAAAAGUCGUAACAAGGUUUCCGUAGGUGAACCUGCGGAAGGAUCAUUAUUGAAUAAACUUGGUUAGAUUGUCUGCUGGCUUUUUGACAAGCAUGUGCACAUCUAAUUCAUUUUUAAUCCCCUGUGCAUCUUUUGUAGGCCUGUAAAAUAUUUGAGUUGAUUAAUACAGCUCAGUUUAGAAAUUGCUGUGUUAUAAGCCAGCUUUUUGUUGUGUUUCAGGUCUAUGUCUAUAUAAUACUCCAUUAGAACUGUUUUUUGAAAUUGCAUUUUAAAAUGCAAUAAAUACAACUUUCAACAACGGAUCUCUUGGCUCUCGCAUCGAUGAAGAACGCAGC
rnacentral:misc_RNA from 1 species